ensembl:snRNA U6 U6 spliceosomal RNA
GUGCUCACUUCAAGCACAUAUAUUAAAAUUGAAACUCUACAGAGAAGAUUAGCAUGGCCCCUUGUGCAGGGAUGACAUGCAAAUUCAUGAAACCUUCCAUAUUUUU